rnacentral:lncRNA from 1 species
UGGUGGCACACGUCUUUAAUCCCAGCACUCGUGAGGCAGAGGCAGGCAGAUUCCUGAGUUCGAGGCCAGUCUGGUCUACAAAGUGAGUUCCAGGACAGCCUGGGCUAUACAGAGAAACCCUGUCUCGAAAUCCCCCUCCCCCCAAAAAAGAAAAAAUGUCUAAACCAAAAAAAAAAAAAAAAUGUCUAUAAGACACACACCUAGGGUUGGAGAGAUGGUUCAGCAGUUAAGAGCACUGACUGCUCUUCCAGAGAUCCUGAGUUCAAUUCCCAGCAACCACAUGGUGGCUCACAACCAUUUGUAAUGGAAUCUGAUGCCCUCUUCUGCUGUGUCUGAAGACAGCUACAGUGUACUCACCUACAUAAAAUAAAAAUAAAUCUUAAAAAAAAAAAAGACACAUGGGGGCUGAAGGGAUAGCUCAGUGGUUGGGAGCACUGACUGCUCUUCCAAAGGUCCUGAAUUCAAAUCCCAGCAACCGCAUGGUGGCUCACAACCAUCUGUAAUGAGAUCUGACACCCUCUUAGGUGCCUGAUUUAUUACAUAUAAUAAAUAAAUAAAAAAUAAAAAAACAUUAAAAAAAGACACACACCUAAUAAGAGAUUAAUAUCCAAAAUUUAUUAGGAACUCAACCCUCUAGUAAAACAAAUAGCCCCAAGAAGGAAUGUGCAAAAGGCCUGAACAGCUGGCCCUGUGAAUGUGGCUAACAGAGACAUGAAAAUUAUGGUUGAAACCACUAAUCAUAAUGACUGUGAGGUAUCUCUCCUCACACAGUAAGUGUUAAUAAGGCUGCUGGGGUGUGGGACAUGCUGCUUGGGCAGGCAGAAUGUAGAGAUGCUGUGGGAAAGACCACCUAGAUCCCAAAGCCAACUAGUUGAGUAAGGAGUGUGGCUUUUUGCAUAAAAAAGGACUGGCAUCUUGGAACUGGGUCAGGAGAACAGUCUGAACUUCUGGGCAGGCAGAGAUACAGGCAAAGAGACACAGACAGAUGCAGAAGGGAGACUGAGUGCUGGUCCAGCAUGGCCUUGGUAGGACAGAUUGACAUAGUUCUUGCCCCUGUGACAUGGAUCUCCAAGAGUGUGGAUGGCUGCCACGGGCAUAAGGCUUGUUUGUAUAAUAAUGUACAUAUUUUCACAUUCCUCCAAGGA